UGCGUAGGUGGUUUCUUAAGUCAGGAGUGAAAGGCUACGGCUCAACCGUAGUAAGCUUUUGAAACUGGGAAACUUGAGUGCAGGAGAGGAGAGUGGAAUUCCUAGUGUAGCGGUGAAAUGCGUAGAUAUUAGGAGGAACACCAGUUGCGAAGGCGGCUCUCUGGACUGUAACUGACACUGAGGCACGAAAGCGUGGGGAGCAAACA
rnacentral:rRNA from 1 species